CGAUGUCAUCUCGCUUGUCACGAGCCAACGUCUGCUCGUUCAACUUCCUUCGGCAACUUCGGCCGACACGUCUCUUCCAGUUUCGUGAAAUUAUGCACCGCGUGAACACCAAAGUGCAUCUUGUCAUCGCGUUAUCUAUUAGUGACGAUUGCACCAUCGCACGUCCGCGUUCUCGGUGGAUUUCGUCGAGAAUGCAAAACGGCUUGUAGCUAACCUCCUGUUAUGACAAUGUCACGCGACACGAAGGCCAGUUGCAUAGAUUGCCAGGGACAUGCUGAAGUCUCCGUCGUCCCGUUCGUAUUGCCCUUCCCCGUCGACACGAUACGAGACGAGCUGAACGAACCGGAAAGAUCGGUCCGACCGGUGUCAAGUUUCGUCAUGACCACUUGUGCAUCCGAUACGGAUGAGGGAGAUUAUGAAACGUCUAGCGAAGGCAUGAUUCUUUCAAAACGCAGCGGCAACCGAAUUUACGGAAAACAAGCAAAAGAAUCACUUUACCUCAAGGAGAAAAGCAUUUCCUUAAGCAAACGCUCCGCAUUUGAUGGAAACGUAUCUACGAUAAAGAGAGAAGCUAUUUCCGAUCCGUUUCACGAAUUUAUGGAGAACAGGUUAACCCAAAAAACCACGUACGUUCGUGAUAAUCUUAUUUUGAUGUCUGAGAAUUUGGCACAGUCGAAAUCCUUGCCAAUCAUGAAGAGCGAAAUCCCGAGUAGCGUUUCCACAGAUUUUACAGCUACUGAUGUCGCGCUGACAUCUGCGUCGUCAUCCGCGCGUAAAAAGAAAAUGUCUAUGAUUAUCAAGAGGAUGGCGCCGCUUAUCUCUUCUUAUCCUUCGACAGUCUCGUUAACGACUGGCGCGACGACUAAUUUUUGUGAUCGACGAUACGAGACGAAACGACUCGUGUCGAGGACGAUGCUGCCGAUAUUUUGCGAUACGACGGUGAUUAAUGACGGGAGGUCAGAAGAGCUCGUAGCGGAAGUGACACUUCACGAAACGAAAAAUAACUGUCGCGCAAUGAAUUGGGAUCCACAGCGAGACGCAAUUCCGACGUUCGUCAAUGACGAAGGUGCUGCCAAUGUGACAAACGACCUCGUUGACAUCGCUAGGAAUCCAUACUCUUCCAUCAAGUCGGUCUACUUUCCACCGAAUUUUUCCGACCCUCUUGCUUUACCAUAUGAUUCUGGCAAAUCAAAGAGACACCAACGAGUGACCACCGAUGUGGAGACGCUACUGAAAAUAGAUCAUGAAUUGGGUCCACUUCGGUACCAAUAUAGCCAGAUUAUCGGGAAGGCUCGGACAUUGGGUCUGAGCGGUACAGGCAUCGACCUUGGCAUCUCCUGUCAUCUGGAUCAACCAGAAACGUUCGGCCAAUCUGUGCUGUCGCCAAGUACAUCCAAUUAUUUUCCUGAUCGCGGUCAGACGUAUCUGCGCCAAACCGCAAUCAACUCUGGCAUCAAGAAUCGAUCCGCUCUCGUCGAUAAAACCUCACCGACUUCGACUUUCUCCGUGGUCGGUAAACUGACUCCAAGAGGCUCUCGUACCAGCUGGUUAAAUGAAAACGACUCGAAUCGUCGACAGGAGGCGUUAAGUUUUGCCAUUCGCGAUUCCUCUCGCCUACUCAAAAACUUCGAUGGUUCUCGAUCUUCAAGUCGGGUCAAUAAUAGCAUAUCUUACUUCCCGAUGACCAAUAGCCAUACGUUUUACGGAGAAAAUGUUCUAGAUGACCGCUCUCGUAACGGAUGUGUUUCCAAUAGCAAUUUUCAACCCUAUCGCAAGUCUAAAACUGUAAUAGAUAGAGCCACUUUUGUAUUGGACGGUUGGUACGCUCGCGAAACGGUCAAUACAAAUCCUUCAAAUGUCUUUAGCAGAACAGAGUACAAUUCGCAUCGAUAUCUCAACCGGACUUUGAAAGAUUUGCAGACAUCUACCAGCAAUUCUUUUGAGAUCCGAAGACGAAAAUCUUCGGUGUCCAUUGUGGAAGUGAUCGAUAACAAUUGGCCCACUGUGAAUGAGGAAACAGCGAAUAAACGGUCGAACGAACAUUUCGAGAUUCCCUCAGGCAAUCGAGAUUCGAUGGUCGUUGAAACGGAAUUCGCCAGUCGCGGUAGCCAUUACCACAAAAGCAUCCUACCCGAAAUCGAACGCGUCACCAAAGACGAUCGAAUAUCCUCAUCAUUCGCAUUAAAAUCGAUCAAUCCUGGUGUAGAUUCCGAUCGUGACGUACUAGGGGUAGUAUCUGCGUCAGCUGACAUCCCUCAGAUUCGUGUCGUCAGCGUGAAUACAGAAUUUCGUGCCACUAUCGAAAAGCGUUACAUCAGCAGAGCCGUUAGUCCUAUUCAGCGUUCACGUUUGACGACCGCUUCGUCGACGACGACGUCACCAAGUAAUGUCUUACUCGCUAAGGUGUCCAGUAUUUUUGUGCAACAAGUGCGUCCUGAUUCCUCGAGAGAAGUAGCGAAGAUCGAGUCACCCGCGAAGAUAUGCUCCCAUGAUACUAACAAACGAAAUGUGCUUGCUGAUACGGUGAGCAAGCGCGAUUUUUGCGUUCAAAAAGUUGACUCUCGACUGGUUGGAGAAAAUAUACCGAGAUUUUCUGGAUUCAAAAGAGAUGAAGCAGAUUUGACAACGACAUCAGAAUUCAGAAAAGCGCAAUAUCUGCAUUUACCGAAGACAAAAGAAAAAAUCACGAUCGUUCCCAUCGUUAUCACCGAUGGAAUAUCGGAACCAUUGAGAUCUGCAGACGUAGAUUUUGCGAUUCCAAGGUACGCUGUUAAAACGGUACCAAAAUUGAACUAUCAAAUCGCACCGUUCAACGUGAGGAAAUUUCGUGAGACGUCAUCAUCAUUGAUUAGAGAUAAUAAAAGUUAUCAAAGAGUUAUCGCGGAUCCCAUGUGUUUAACCGAGGAGUUCGCGAAUGAAAAGCGCUGGAGAGCUGCUAACAGGACUUCUGUUUCUCAUGUUAAUCGUCAUCUGUGCACAGAAAAUUAUCCUCUUUCGACGACAACGAGCAUCACGGGAAACUCGAAGCAACCGAUUCGAGUUACGACUUCAAAUGCGAGAGUCGUCAGAAAGGCGCGAGAAUAUCGCUAUUCCAACAGACAGAGAGUCUCAAAAGCGAUAUCCGGUAUGAGAAGCACACCGGAAGAUUUCCUUUGUGAAACGUGACUUUGUGACCCGUGUGGCGCACGAAUGCGCUUAAACGUGCGUUUCGAGAAAGCGGCACUUUAGCGAGGAUACGAUAAGCUCACCUCCAGAAUUUCUCGAAGCCGAAACUCUUCAAGCGAAACUGAAAUCUGUCGCAAGCAGCGAGAAGGAAAACUAUGAAACGGAAAACGGGUUACGAAAUCUUCGUUGUCGAAGAAACAUCUUACACGGAUUUUCUAAAUGUAAAAAGACUGGCCAAUUCCCUGUGUCUCAGAAACGGACGAAAGGUCGCCAAGAAGAGGAUCGACGGGGAUGAAGCAAAGUCCGUUGCAGAAUUUUUUGCUUGCGGUUUAGACGCUUUCUGCAUGUAUAUUGGGAAGUUACUUUAGCUUUCACGUGCACGUUUUAAAAUACAAGACGCGCUGUAUAUACUGCUGUCGCAAAUCCAAGCAGCGAAUUAAUAGCAAAAACAUAUAUUAGUGGUAAAGUUACACAGCAUUUUAAUAGUUGCGAUGUAUACAUAGUUACUAUCGAUACAUAGAGAACGAUUGUAUUAUUCGGAAAAGUUUUAUUGAAGCGCAAAUAUUUGAUACAAAUUUUUUUGCGAAAUAUAGAAGCAGGAAA